UACGUAGGGUGCGAGCGUUGUCCGGAAUUAUGGGGCGUAAAGGGCUCGUAGGCGGUUUGUCGCGUCGGGAGUGAAAACACCGGGCUUAACUCGGUGCUUGCUUUCGAUACGGGCAGACUAGAGGUAUUCAGGGGAGAACGGAAUUCCUGGUGUAGCGGUGAAAUGCGCAGAUAUCAGGAGGAACACCGGUGGCGAAGGCGGUUCUCUGGGAAUAUCCUGACGCUGAGGAGCGAAAGUGUGGGGAGCGAACAGG
rnacentral:rRNA from 1 species